rnacentral:ribozyme from 1 species
AUGAGCUCUACUCUGCUAAUGGGGUAGGAUCCGAGACCCUGUAAAGGGUCACUUAGGCUCUCCUACUCAACUCCUAUUUCGUCACGUCCCCGUCGUGCAGAGUCCCAACCCCUUGGGAGGAUGGUGGAGCACGGCUGAACAGGAGGGG